GAUGAACGCUGGCGGCGUGCCUAAUACAUGCAAGUCGAGCGAACAGACGAGGAGCUUGCUCCUCUGACGUUAGCGGCGGAGGGGUGAGUAACACGUGGAUACCCUACCUAUAAGACUGGGAUCACUUCGGGAAACCGGAGCAAAUACCGGAUGAUCUCUUGAACCGCAGGGUUCAAUAGUAAAAGACGGUUUUGCGGUCACUUCUAGAUGGCUACGCGCCGUCUUAGCUAGUUGGUAAGUUUAAGGCUUACCAAGGCAACGAUGCGUAGCCGAGCGCGGAGGGGGAUCGGCCACACUAGAGCUGAGACACCCUCCAUACUCCUACGGGAGGCAGCAGUAGGCAAUCGUCCGCAAUGGGCGAGAGCUUGACGGAGCAACGCCACGUGAGUGAUGAAGGUCUCCCGAUCGUAAAGCCCUGUUUUUAGUGAAGAACAGAUUUGGAAUGAACUAUGCACGGCGUGACGGUACCGAAUCAGAAAGCAACGGCUAACUACGUG
rnacentral:rRNA from 1 species